UACGUAGGGUGCGAGCGUUAAUCGGAAUUACUGGGCGUAAAGCGUGCGCAGGCGGCUCUGCAAGUCGAGUGUGAAAUCCCCGAGCUUAACUUGGGAAUUGCGCUCGAAACUAUGGUGCUGGAGUGUGGCAGAGGAAGGUGGAAUUCCACGUGUAGCGGUGAAAUGCGUAGAGAUGUGGAGGAACACCGAUGGCGAAGGCAGCCUUCUGGGCCAACACUGACGCUCAUGCACGAAAGCGUGGGGAGCAAACAGG
rnacentral:rRNA from 1 species